rnacentral:lncRNA from 1 species
AUGGUGACCUCUAACCCCAGCCCCCAAGAAUAUGAAAGUGAUGACGACUCUUAUGAAGUGUUGGAUUUAACUGAGUAUGCAAGAAGACAUCAGCGGUGGAAUUGAGUGUUUGGCCCCAGUUGGAGACCUAUGGUGUUACAGAGAAAUACUCAGUAGCUACCCAGAUUGGAAUGUGUGGCGUGACAGGCUGGUAUGCAGGAUUUUUGCUCCCAAAAGUUGGGAAGGUUGCAGCAACUGCAGUGACUUCCAGAUUGACUGGAAGAGAAUUGAAAGAGACGUACAUAAAGCAAAAAGACAUACUAAGACUAAGAAAUGAGCAAAUAAAGCAGCACCUGAAAUCAACAAUACAGUUGAAGAAGCAACUGACUUUAUCAAACAGAACAUUGUGAUAUCCACUGAAUUUGUGGGAGGCUUUUUGCUAAGACUUGCAUUUUAA